GGCUCAGUGGUAGAGUGCUUGCCUCCCACGCAGGAGGCCCUGGGUUCGAUUCCUCAG
rnacentral:tRNA from 1 species